rnacentral:tRNA from 1 species
GCCUGGGUGGCUCAGUCGGUUAAGCCACUGACUUCAGCUCAGGUCAUGAUCUCGCGGCCUGUGGGUUCGAGCCCCGCAUCGGGCU